rnacentral:rRNA from 1 species
CACGUAGGGCGCAAGCGUUGUCCGGAAUUAUUGGGCGUAAAGAGCUCGUAGGCGGUCCGUCACGUCCGCUGUGAAAACCCAGGGCUCAACCCUGGGCUUGCAGUGGAUACGGGCAGACUAGAGGUAGGUAGGGGAGAAUGGAAUUCCCGGUGUAGCGGUGAAAUGCGCAGAUAUCGGGAGGAACACCGGUGGCGAAGGCGGGUCUCUGGGCAACAACUGACGCUGAGGAGCGAAAGCGUGGGGAGCGAACAGG